UGGGGAAUCUUGCGCAAUGGACGAAAGUCUGACGCAGCGACGCCGCGUGGGCGACGAAGGCCUUCGGGUUGUAAAGCCCUGUGGGGAGGGACGAACGUCAGCUGGGCUAACAUCCCGGCUGAGUGACGGUACCUCCUUAGCAAGCACCGGCUAACUCUGUGCCAGCAGCCGCGGUAAGACAGAGGGUGCAAACGUUGCUCGGAAUUACUGGGCGUAAAGCGCGUGUAGGCGGUUCCGCCAGUCUGGUGUGAAAGCCCAGGGCUCAACCCUGGAAGCGCAUUGGAUACUACGGAGCUUGAGUCCUGAAGAGGAGAGCGGAAUUCCCGGUGUAGAGGUGAAAUUCGUAGAUAUCGGGAGGAACACCAGUGGCGAAGGCGGCUCUCUGGACAGGUACUGACGCUGAGACGCGAAAGCGUGGGUAGCAAACAG
rnacentral:rRNA from 1 species